UACGGAGGGUGCGAGCGUUAAUCGGAAUUACUGGGCGUAAAGGGUGCGUAGGUGGUUAAUUAAGUUAUCUGUGAAAUCCCUGGGCUUAACCUGGGCAGGUCAGAUAAUACUGAUUAACUCGAGUAUGGGAGAGGGUAGUGGAAUUUCCGGUGUAGCGGUGAAAUGCGUAGAGAUCGGAAGGAACACCAGUGGCGAAGGCGGCUACCUGGCCUAAUACUGACACUGAGGCACGAAAGCGUGGGGAGCAAACAGG
rnacentral:rRNA from 1 species